rnacentral:rRNA from 1 species
UCACAGCGGGGCCCCCAAAUUUUUUGGGCGGGCCGGUGAGUAUCACAUAGGAAACCUGCCCUUAAUACUGGGACAAAUCCGGAUAACCGUGGCUAAUACGUGCUAACAUUUCAUAACCGCAUGGUUCGAAAGUGAAAGGCGUCUUCGGCUGUCACUUAUGGAUGGACCGGCNNCACACUAGCUACUUUAUGAGGUAACGGCUCACCAAGGCAACCAUGCCUACCCUACCUGACAGAGUGAUCAGCCAGACUGGGACUGAUACACCUCCCACACUCCUACGAGACGUACCAGUAGGGAAUCUUCCGCAAUGUACGAAAGUCUGACGGAUCAACCCCACGUGAGUGAUGAAGGCUUUCAAGUCUUAAAACUCUGUUGUUACGGAAGAACAAGUGCUACUUGAAUAAUCUGGCCCCUUGACCGCACCUAACCAUAAAACCACGGCUAACUACGUGCCAACAUCCCCGCUAAUACGUAAGUGCCUAGCGUUUAUCCCGAUUUCUUGGAACUUAUUAGCGCGCGCANCGAGCUCUUCUUCAGUUUUGAUGUGAAAACACCCCCGGACUCAACCGUGUAAGGGGGCAUUGGGAAACCUGGGAAAACUUUGAAAUA